GGUUAUGGCUCAGCGGUAGAGCAUUUGCCUAGCAUGUGUAAGGCCCUGGGUUCGAACCUCAGCACCA
rnacentral:tRNA from 1 species